CGCGUAGGCGGAUUUGCAAGUCGGGGGUGAAAGCCCGAGGCUCAACCUCGGAACUGCCUUCGAUACUGCAAAUCUCGAGUCCGAGAGAGGUGAGUGGAAUUCCUAGUGUAGAGGUGAAAUUCGUAGAUAUUAGGAAGAACACCAGUGGCGAAGGCGGCUCACUGGCUCGGUACUGACGCUGAGGCGCGAAAGCGUGGGGAGCAAACAGGAUUAGAUACCCUGGUAGUCCACGCCGUAAACUAUGGGUGCUAGCCGUCGGGGAGCUUGCUCUUCGGUGGCGCAGCAAACGCAUUAAGCACCCCGCCUGGGGAGUACGGUCGCAAGAUUAAA
rnacentral:rRNA from 1 species